GAGUUGAGCAGAACCUUGAUCAAGGUCAUCAUCGACAGGAUACUUACCAUUCUAUUUUCGUUGAUAGAUACAACGAAGAUAGAACGGACAACGAAUAUAGAACGGAAAGUAUCCUGUCGAUGAUAAACUUGCGGGUGUGUUCUUAUCAACCUC